CUUUUAUGUGCGCUGAAUUCUUUUCAUUAAGAAGCGGGGGAACCAGGUUUUUGGGGUGAAUCUCUUUUUUAAAAGAGUAGGGUCAUCUUCUUUCGAUCCGAAUCCGUCAGCUAACCUCGUAAGCGUGGAAAGAGGAAGA
rnacentral:sRNA from 2 species